rnacentral:tRNA from 1 species
GCCUGGGUAGCUCAGUCGGUUAAGCAUCUGACUUCAGCUCAGGUCAUGAUCUCAGUUUGUGGGUUCAAGCCCCAUGUUGGGCU